rnacentral:rRNA from 1 species
GAUGAACGCUGGCGGCGUGCUUAACACAUGCAAGUCGAACGAAGCAUUUGCGACAGAUUUCUUCGGAUUGAAGUUGCUUAUGACUGAGUGGCGGACGGGUGAGUAACGCGUGGGUAACCUGCCUCAUACAGGGGGAUAGCAGCUGGAAACGGCUGGUAAUACCGCAUAAGCGCACAGUACCACAUGGUACAGUGUGAAAAACUCCGGUGGUAUGAGGUGGACCCGCGUCUGAUUAGCUAGUUGGUGAAGUAACGGCCCACCAAGGCGACGAUCAGUAGCCGACCUGAGAGGGUGACCGGCCACAUUGGGACUGAGACACGGCCCAGACUCCUACGGGAGGCAGCAGUGGGGAAUAUUGCACAAUGGAGGAAACUCUGAUGCAGCGACGCCGCGUGAGUGAAGAAGUAGUUCGCUAUGUAAAGCUCUAUCAGCAGGGAAGAUAGUGACGGUACCUGACUAAGAAGCUCCGGCUAAAUACGUGCCAGCCGCCGCCGUAA